rnacentral:rRNA from 1 species
GAUGAACGCUAGCUACAGGCUUAACACAUGCAAGUCGAGGGACCGGCGCACGGGUGAGUAACACGUAUCCAACCUGCCCUUUACUCGGGGAUAGCCUUUCGAAAGAAAGAUUAAUACCCGAUAUAAAGGAUGGGGAUGCGUUCCAUUAGGUUGUUGGUGAGGUAACGGCUGACAAAGCCUUCGAUGUAUAGGGGGUCUGAGAGGGAGUCCACCUGCAUGGGAACUCGGACCCGAUCCAAACUCGUACGGGAAGCAGGAGAGAGGAGGAUUGGUCAGGAGGUCCUAGCCUGAACCAGCCAGGUAGCGUGAAGGGUGAUGGGUUGUUGAUCGUUAUCUUCUUUUAUAUAAGAAUAUGUAUUAAAUGAAUAAGGAUCGGCUAACUCCGUGCCAGCAGCCGCGGUAAUUC